rnacentral:lncRNA from 10 species
CCCAUUUUUGCAUUUUGUUUUUUAAUAGAGAUGGAGUCUUGGUAUGUUGCCCAGGCUGGUCUCAAACUCCUGGGCUCAAGCAAUCUGCCCGCCUGAGCCUCCCAAAGUGCUGGGAUUAUAAGCAUGAGCCCCUGCACCUGGCUGAAAAAUCUGGGUAUCUUUGAGAGGCCCCCAUCUACCUCUUGUCCACGUAUGAUAUUCACAGAGCUAGAAAUAAGGCCGUGGAAAGAUCCUAAAGUAAGCUGAUGUGUUCCCUGGGUCGUCCCUUCACCCCAACCUUCAUUAACUCUCUGUGGAACAGGACGAGAGGUGGAAAUGGGCUACUCGGGCUGAAGGCUGCAAAUGAGGUUUCACAGCCAUUUCCUCCAAGCGAGGAAAAUAGGCUCUUUCUGCUUUUCCCAUUUUGGAGGAUGCUGUGAGAGGCUCUUUUUGGAGGCUGAGAGCUGUCAUUGCGGGGAGAGGGCAGUGCCAAGCGCAGGCGGUAACUACCCGCAAGACUGCAGAAUGGACCCUGCCACCUCGGCCCCCAGCAGCUUCACCCCCAGGGCCCCUUCCUUGCCUGAUCCCACACAUCAGCAUCCCCUACGCUCUGUCCCUCCGGGCCAAGCAGCCCUGGUCCCGGGCCCUCCCUGUCCCCGGGUGUUUCAGGUCCUUCUGUAUGCCAGCAGCUCUUUUUGGAACACAGCACAGAGGAGGCGGGGAAAAGGAAAAGCAGGAGAGGAAAGGAGGAGAGGACUGCAAGUCCACGGCAAACCACAAAACGGGAAGCCUCCAGAAACACAGCCACGGUGAGCACAGACCCUCGGAGUGUCUGCAAAGGAGCUGGUAUAUGAUUUCAAACCAACAACAAUGAGGGCACGAGAGAUGAAUAAUCAGCUGUGAAUGCCUUCAGGUUAUGAGACGAGGGGCUUCAGAGGUGCAGACAGGGCAAAGGCGGCUCAGGGCCAGUGCUCUGUGUCCACCCAGGGAGGCUGGGGCUGGUGCCAGGGUGCAGCAACCCAUGGCAAGUGGUCAGGCUACAAGCCGCAGAACCCACGGGCUGCCUUCUGAGAGCAAGGCCCUCCUUUGAGGACCACCUGGGAGUGGGGCCACUGGAUCCCAAGAAGGGAGGGAAAGGAGAAUCUGGGCCAUAAAUGACACCCGGAACCCGUCUUGUGUUCUGGAACCUUGGUCCUUUAACUUGCUGGGAGAAAAGACAGAACUCUGCUCUUCAUUCCAGGAGAGGGCCCAAAUCAAACUCCGGUGGGGUUCCUAGGGGCACUCCACGCGGCAGAAGCAGCCGCUGUCCUCACAUCAAUGUGUCCAAACUGGCUCUUGGGCACUACACCGGCCAGAAGAACCUCCUAUGUGGUUCUUUCCUGGGAGGCCAAUGUCGUUUCCUUUCAGGGAUGGAUUCUGUAAGACUCGAUCCCCAAAAGUGAAAACGUGACUCGUACAGUGGUGUGCAGUGUAACUGGGAAUCUGCAGCCCGGUGGGCAGAGAGACAGCCCUCAGCCCUGAGCAGCUGGGGAGAGGGGAUCCGUGGUGCAGGUCCUAGAAGGAGCUCUGAAUGGCUUAAGUGGUCUGGGAUCUGUGUCCUCUGCCCUGCCAUCAGACACAGUGAAAGCGCUCCUGCUUCUGGAGCGUCUGACCUCAGUGCUCAGGUGCCUGGGGCUGCACCGUCUGUGGGCAGAGGAUCAGCUCAGGCUGGGGCCCACACCCAGCUCUGCGCGCCCUACACAGAAACGGAAAACCAUCUGCCUACUCCAGGCAGAAACACACUCUUGUCAGGGUGGCGGGGGCUGGGGAGAGGACUCCACACCUAGCUGAGUCUUGCUGUCACGUGAUGUGGAG